GCCUGGGUGGCUCAGUCGGUUGAGUGUCUGACUUCGGCUCAGGUCAUGAUCUCACGGCUGGUGAGUUCGAGCCCUGCCUCAGGCU
rfam:Felis catus isolate Cinnamon breed Abyssinian chromosome C2, whole genome shotgun sequence.